GCAGACAUUGCAAGCAGGCCAAGCACUUAUAGCUUGACAUGGCUGGAGUCAAUACUACCUCACCAAAAUUACAACUAAUGUUUGGCUUAAUCCUUGCCUAAUCGCAGUGUUUUUCCCUUUUAUUAUUUCUCUUUUUGUAGGCCCAUCAGAGUGAUUUUCUGAGAUCUUUCACAUGCUGUAUGGUCAGCGAAUGGAUGGAUUAUCCAGUCAUGGUACAUAAUGAAAGACUUGAGUGAGUUAGAAGAAACUGAGCGACUCUUCAGAGUGAAGAUGUUAUGAUGCAGUUAUGUCAAAGCACUCGUUUCGGCUGGACAGAUUGGAACAGACCUGAAUGGGAAGAUGGCAGAGCUAAGACUGGCAAUGUCCAGGAAAAAUGUUAACUAAAAAUGAGUGUGUUUUUCCCCAGCGAGUGAGUUUGGGAAUGUUUUAAAUGUGCCUAGAAGUUUGAAAAUGUAAUACUGAGGGAAAAAAGUGAGCGCUUUGAAAAGGCUUUAAAAAGAAAAAAAGUCUGAUGUUGAUGUUAAAUGAAGUUAAAGUUUUUACUUGAAAAGUUUGUACUUGUUUGUACUUGUCAAGUCUGUGCUGAAAAAAAUGCAGUAAAGUUUGUAUUUGAAAAGACUUG